rnacentral:rRNA from 1 species
CAGUAGCCGCGGGAAUACGUAGGUCCCGAGCGUUGUCCGGAUUUAUUGGGCGUAAAGGGAGCGCAGGCGGUUUAGUAAGUCUGAAGUUAAAGGCAUUGGCUCAACCAAUGUAUGCUUUGGAAACUGUUAGACUUGAGUGCAGAAGGGGAGAGUGGAAUUCCAUGUGUAGCGGUGAAAUGCGUAGAUAUAUGGAGGAACACCGGUGGCGAAAGCGGCUCUCUGGUCUGUCACUGACGCUGAGGCUCGAAAGCGUGGGUAGCGAACAGGAUUAGAUACCCGAGUAGUCCCUGUCUCUUAUACC